GCCAGGCGCGGUGGCGUGUGCCUGUAGUCCCAGCUACUGGGGAGGCUGAAGUGGGAGGAUCGCUUGAGCCUAGCAGUUCUGGGCUGUAAUGUGCUAUGCCAAUCGGGUGUCCGCACUAAGUUCGCAUCAAUAUGGUGACCUCCCGGGAGCGGGGGACCACCAGGUUGCCUAGGGAGGGGUGAACUGACUGAGGUCGGACAAAGCAGGUCAAAACUCCCGUGCUGAUCAGUAGUGAGAUCGCACGUGUGACUAGCCACUACACUCCAGUGUGGGCAACAUAGCAAGACCCCAUCUCU
rnacentral:SRP_RNA from 1 species